rnacentral:rRNA from 1 species
UACAGAGGUCUCAAGCGUUGUUCGGAUUCAUUGGGCGUAAAGGGUGUGUAGGUGGCGCCGUAAGUCAGGUGUGAAAUCUCGGGGCUUAACUCCGAAACUGCAUUCGAUACUGCCGUGCUUGAGGACUGGAGAGGAGACUGGAAUUUACGGUGUAGCGGUGAAAUGCGUAGAUAUCGUAAGGAAGACCAGUGGCGAAGGCGGGUCUCUGGACAGUUCCUGACGCUGAGGCACGAAGGCCAGGGGAGCAAACGGG